CCUACGGGAGGCAGCAGUGGGGAAUAUUGGACAAUGGGGGGAACCCUGAUCCAGCGACGCCGCGUGAGUGAAGAAGUAUUUCGGUAUGUAAAGCUCUAUCAGCAGGGAAGAAAGAAAUGACGGUACCUGACUAAGAAGCCCCGGCUAACUACGUGCCAGCAGCCGCGGUAAUACGUAGGGGGCAAGCGUUAUCCGGAUUUACUGGGUGUAAAGGGAGCGUAGACGGCGAUGCAAGUCUGAAGUGAAAGGCGGGGGACCAACCUGCGGACUGCUUUGGAAACUGUAUGGCUGGAGUGCAGGAGAGGUAAGUGGAAUUCCUAGUGUAGCAGUGAAAUGCGUAGAUAUUAGGAGGAACACCAGUGGCGAAGGCGGCUUACUGGACAGUAACUGACGUUGAGGCUCGAAAGCGUGGGGAGCAAACAGGAUUAGAUACCCCUGUAGUC
rnacentral:rRNA from 1 species